rnacentral:tRNA from 1 species
GUUUAUAUAAUUUAAAGAGAGAAUAUUGCAUUGAAGCUGCAAAAGAGAUAAAUUUAUCUGUAAACA